UACGGGGGGGGCAAGCGUUGUUCGGAAUUACUGGGCGUAAAGGGCUCGUAGGCGGCCAACUAAGUCGGAUGUGAAAUCCCCAGGCUUAACCUGGGAACUGCAUCCGAUACUGGAUGGCUUGAAUUCGGGAGAGGGAUGCAGAAUUCCAGGUGUAGCGGUGAAAUGCGUAGAUAUCUGGAGGAAUACCGGUGGCGAAGGCGCCAUCCUGGACCGGCAUUGACGCUGAUGAGCGAAAGCUAGGGGAGCAAACGGG
rnacentral:rRNA from 1 species